rnacentral:rRNA from 1 species
GAUGAACGCUGGCGGCGUGCUUAACACAUGCAAGUCGAACGGGAUCCAUCAGGCUUUGCUUGGUGGUGAGAGUGGUGAACGGGUGAGUAAUGCGUGACCGACCUGCCCCAUACACCGGAAUAGCUCCUGGAAACGGGUGGUAAUGCCGGAUGCUCCAGUUGAUCGCAUGGCCUUCUGGGAAAGCUUUCGCGGUAUGGGAUGGGGUCGCGUCCUAUCAGCUUGACGGCGGGGUAACGGCCCACCGUGGCUUCGACGGGUAGCCGGCCUGAGAGGGCGACCGGCCACAUUGGGACUGAGAUACGGCCCAGACUCCUACGGGAGGCAGCAGUGGGGAAUAUUGCACGAUGGGCGCAAGCCUGAUGCAGCGACGCCGCGUGAGGGAUGGAGGCCUUCGGGUUGUAAACCUCUUUUAUCGGGGAGCAAGCGAGAGUGAGUUUACCCGUUGAAUAAGCACCGGCUAACUACGUGCCAGCAGCCGCAGUAAAAC